CCCCUACGGGAGGCAGCAGUCGGGAAUAUUGCGCAAUGGAGGAAACUCUGACGCAGUGACGCCGCGUAUAGGAAGAAGGUUUUCGGAUUGUAAACUAUUGUCGUUAGGGAAGAUAAAAGACAGUACCUAAGGAGGAAGCUCCGGCUAACUACGUGCCAGCAGCCGCGGUAAUACGUAGGGAGCAAGCGUUAUCCGGAUUUACUGGGUGUAAAGGGAGCGUAGGCGGUGCAGCAAGUCAGAAGUGAAAGCCCGGGGCUCAACUCCGGGACUGCUUUUGAAACUGUUGAACUAGAUUGCAGGAGAGG
rnacentral:rRNA from 1 species